rnacentral:rRNA from 1 species
UACGUAGGUGGCGAGCGUUGUCCGGAUUUACUGGGCGUAAAGAGCGCGCAGGCGGUCGUACAAGUCGCGUGUGAAAGCCCCCGGCUCAACUGGGGAGGGUCACGCGAUACUGUUCGACUCGAAGGCAGGAGAGGGAAGUGGAAUUCCCGGUGUAGUGGUGAAAUGCGUAGAGAUGUGGAGGAACACCAGUGGCGAAGGCGACUCUUUGGUCUGUAACUGACGCUGAGGCGGCGAAAGCCGUGGGGAGCAAACAGG